rnacentral:lncRNA from 1 species
CCUGUCUGUGGUGUGCAAUUUGAGAUGUCUGGGUGCUACAAAACUGGCUGAAAGCAGAAGUGAUUCUUUCUGAAUAAACAAUGUAGUUUGCUCAUAUGUAUCACAGAAACACGAUGUUAUUACUUGUGUUUCCACAGUGAUUUGUUGGUUUUCCAGUGCAAGAGUGAUCCCUCCUUCAUUUUUACCAAAAAGAGAUUUCCUCCAUUUCUGCACUUUUUGCCCUCUGGAAUUUCAUUUGCAAGGGCAGAUAAGGGGAAAAGAAUGUAAUAAGAGAUGAGGAAAAAAAUAAGCCCUUGCUGAAUGAUUGAUAUGAAUGAAGGAACUGAUGGAAUAAAUAACAAAAAUAAGAAGAUCCAGGACUACUCUCAGUCUCUGAAGCAGGUGGGAGCCCUGGCGGUAGCUAUGGAUCCAGUUCAAAGGAAUAUGAAAGGCACUGCUUUCCCAUCAAAAAGGAAGAAGAAAGGCAAUACUUGCAACCAAUGAUAAAGAGGUAUUCUGACUUUCAUCUGCCUUUGUGUUAAGCGUGAGAGAGCCAGACAGAAUUGCAGCAGGAACCAGAAGGAGCAAAGAAAAAGAUUACUGUUUCUUUUAUAAAAUGGUUUUUAUCCUACUGGUGUCUCUUUAAAAAUAAAAAUCAACAAAUAAAUGUCCAUUUAAAUUGAUCUUCUGUUGGACUAUGUUAUUGGUCUGACAUAUAAAUUAGUGCUUCUAAGAUUUAACUAUGUGACUGAGAACCAAUAAUAUUUUAUGGAGAGUGUCAAAUGGCUUGCCUUUACAGCAAUUCUUUUCACUGUAUCUAUUUUUUUUAAUAUGGAUGAUGGAAACCACUUUAAUCAAAAAGAUAAUAAUACUUAUUUGGAGGUAUGAUAAAGCAAAUGUCUUUGGCCACAUGCUGUUAUUGGAAUUUAAGGGCUAUUAUCUUUUGUAGGACAAUUUUUAAAAUACAGUUUAUUCUACUCAGUGCCCUAAGUCUGUUUCUUACUAGCCAUGACCUUGAGAAGCUGACUUUACCUCUCUAAGCCAUUCUCCUCCUCUGUGAAGUGGGAAUGUUAAUACCCACUCUUGUUACUCUCAGAGUGCAAUGAGGAUCAAUGAGAAGAUAAAAAUAAAUGUGUUUGGUUAACUAUGAAAUACCACGUGAAUGUUAAUAUUAUGAAUUAUUUAUAGACCAUACACUUGAUGGAGGCAAAAAGUAGACCUUUGUUGUUCCCAUGAAACCAUAGUAACUUCCACAGUGCCUGACAAGAAGUAAGAAAGCAAUAAAAGUUUGUUGAAUUUAAUAUGCCCUGAGAAGUAUAAUUAUAAAAAUGAUUGCAUGUAAAAAUAUCAAUAAAAUACAUACUAAACCACCAAACAGA